UAACGGCAGCUCAAUUUGCAGCCCCGGGGAGCGGAUCUAAUUGCCGAAGGUGUCAGCAGAGACGGGGCCGCCGUGUCGGCCCGGGUGUGAUUGCAGGGGUGUGAUUGCGGGGGCUCCCCCGCCUCGUGCCAGCUCCCUCCUUCCUGCCCGCUGCCAAAAAGGCUUAUUCCCCGCCGCUUAGUUCUGCUGCCAAAUUACAAAUGCAUCUCGGAGACCACCAGAGCUUUAGAAAAAGCACAAAAAGCCACCUGGCAGCUCUACCUCCGUGCCGCCGCGCGCUGGCUCUGCAGGGCUGCGAUUCCUGCGAGGAGGGAGCCCGCACGGAUUGAUUUCACGGCCCAGGCACUGCCAGGAAAUCGGCAUUAUCGCUGUCUGGUGCUGGCGCUGUUAUUUUUUUGCAGCAUAUAGCUCAAAACUCUCGGCACGGCUCCUUCUGAUCCUGGCCCAGGGGAAAGAUCUUGGAGCAAUAAACCUUCGUUCUCCCCGUCUUACGGAGAAGAUCCGAAGUGGAAGUGCUGCCUGCCAUUGUCCAAGCCCACAGGGAAUUUGUUGCAAGAGGAAAAGCCAACAGAAGCUGAAAAUAUCCUAGACACCACAGAAAACCACAUCAGGGACAAGAAUGGCAAACUCGGAGCUACAGAGAGAUCCUCUCUGAUGCAUUAGCAGAAAUGCAACAGAAAAUUCAAUUUCUGCCCUCCCCUUGCGCCCUUUAUUCUUCAGGCAAAGGCAGAGCUACGGGCGAGACCGAGGCAGAACAGGUUGGACAGUUUUAAUAUUUCAAUCACUAAAUUUUUUUGUAGGGUUCUGCUCACUCCCAACUUCAAGUGUUUUUUUUUUUUUAAAGAUACUCCAUUUCAUUAUUUACAUUGGUGCCUUCUAUACGUUUGCUAUCAUUCAGCACCAACCUCAACAGCAGAUGAUAAUAGGAUUGUAAACUUUUGAAGUUAAUAGGAAAAUUAUAGUGCUUCCGUGUAUUAUUAUAAUGCAGUAAGCUGCCACAUAGUGUCUCUCACCCUGCAGGGUAUCACGGCUUGUCACCCAGCCUGGGAAGGCAAUGAUUAAAGCCCCAUGAAAUUCGCAGUGUCACAAAAGUCUUAAGAACCAUGAAAUUCUCUGUUUUCCAUUAAAAAACUGCAUUUUGACGUAUUUUUAAGAGCGACCUGUUAAUUCUCGAUGUGCUGCAGUGGCGCGAAGGGCUCGUGCGGACAGGCCCACUCUGCAUAAUAUCUUAAAAAAAAAAAAAAAAAAAAAAUUUUUUUUUCCUGCCUCCCCCGGGC